AUCUCCACACAUGCAAAGGUCCCUUCUGCCUUUUUUUUUUUUUUUCCCCUUUGAAAUUUCAAAUUCCAGUUUGUGGACAAAGUCCUGCCUAUCUGAGAAUAUAGAUCUCCGACCACUGACCAAACUCCACUUCAAGCAGUCCCGAGGACUGUUCUUCCCCUUGCCCACGGAUGUGUCUGCUCAGUCCUUGGAUUUCUCAGGAUCAUGCUGAAAAUUUUGCACUGGAGCACAGCACUUGUACUUGCACAAAGCGGAUUUUGCACUUAAUGUCAGCAGCUUCCUUUCUGGGAAGAACCUCGGGAAUAACCAGGAAUGCCUGAGUAACCUGUCAUGUCCUCAAUGUCCUCAAUCAGCAGAGCACAGCAAGGGGUGAGUGAAAGCCAGACAACUCUCAGGAGCUCCAUGUCCACAGCAGCUGCACACCCCCCACACACCCUCCUGUGUGACACAACCCUCCUGUCCACUGCCAGAGAAACAAAAACACAGCAGAAAGCAAGGUAUGGGAACAUGAGAACACAGCAAGGGCAGGGGAUCACACGUCCCUACAGUUCCAGAAACCACAGCCAGGACACUGCAGGGACAACUGCCUGGCUCCCAGCUAACAAACAUGGAACUGCUGAUCAGCCUGAGUCACAGCACCCACCAUGCUUCCCCAUGUUGGGGUAUCUCUCUCUUGAGCCCCAGAACCAACUUGGGAACAUGAGCCAUCAUCACCCACAAAGCUGGUAUGUGCACCCUGAAUGAAGCAAAACAGAAACCAAAGACAUGGGGGUCCCAAGCUCUGGGUACCAGCAAUACCAGUGGGAAGGAGCAUAUUUUGGCAGCUCCAAAUCCCCACUGGACACCCUUUAUUCAAUGCCCUUCAUUUGCAUAAACUCUAUAGCGCUGGCUCUGCAGCUGCUUCUCUCCCUGCUGCAACUGCUGGGGGAGCAGGGGGGUACCUGGUGUUUCCUGGAACAGGUGGUAUCUGCUGCCAUUCAUCUUCCAGGGGCGCUCAGCUCCGUGGGCAGAGCUAGGGGAGUCUGGCCCCUGGCUGGGGCCGUGCAGCCGGCGAGCCCCCCGCAGGCAGCGGGGCACGAGCCAUGCCCAGGAGCAGCUUGUGGCGCAGAGCAGGGACAGGCUAAUCCCUUAAUGCUGGUCACAAUGAGAUUUGAUGGGGAGCAGCAGUUUGUACUGCAGAGCCACAGGUUUUAAAGGGUUCUGGCCACUACCCGGAGGAAAAUUAUAAGGUGGCUCUGAGUCUGUGCCCCGCUGCCAGUGCCCACAGCAAUGCCCGCUGCUUUCUGGGCCACCUUUCUGAGCCUGCUCUCUGCCCUGCCACUGGGUUUCUUUAGGGCAGGAGUACCUGACCCUAUGUGCAGGCCUGGAGGUUGAUCCAGAAGUUGUGCCUGGGUGUGUCUAACAGCAGGAGUGAGUCUGGCUCCUCAGGGAGAAGCUGCUUUUGGUUUAAAGUGUUUCUAUAUAAAUAGCCAGAACACCAUAUCCUUGAGCAACAACCUUGGUCUCCCCUCCCAGCUGACAUCACAAUGCAGGAUGACUCAGUCCAGAGGGGAGCAGGGAGGCUGCUGAGCACCCAGAGUUUUCUUUUCUGCAGGAAAUGUGGUCUGGCAAGUGUGGCCAUGUUUAUAAUGGAGGAGGAAAAUCGUGUGAGGGAAUAGAGUGGCACUUCACUAGGGUUUCACAGGCACUGAGUGACUGGAUCGCUGAAAAGGAGACCUGACCUGGGUACCACCUUGGGCUGCAUAGCUGUGACCCAACUAGGGCCAGGUCUCAUCAACCUCUGUGUCCAGAAGAACCAAGUCAGGGACAAACCCAUCUCAAACACCCAUUUUCCUUCCUCCUUGGAUGACUCUUCCUGCCAAGCCCACCUCUGCUUUUGCUGUGCCAAGGAGAAGAGAGCUCAUUCCUGCCCUCCAGAUAUCGAGCCCUAAGCAGCACCUUGAAGGCACUAGUCUAAUGGAGCAAAAGUGUUCCUAAAUCAUUCCUGUCCUGCCUCCACAGACUUCUGCUUCCACCCAGGCCUGCCUGAGGUAUAUUUGAGUUAAUCUGGAGUGCCCACAGUCAGCAGCUCCAGAAUGCUCCUGGAGUGGGGAGUGAGCUCUGUCCCUCAGCUCUGUGCCCAGGGAGGGGUGUGCUGGCAACAGGGGCUGAUGCCCAACACUCCCACGUGGAGCAGGGAGCAGCAUCAAGGGCAGGGCUGGGACUGAACUGUGUGUAACCCUGUGACACCUCCCUGCACCCCUGUGUUGCCACACAGGUUUUAGUGGCUGUAAUAGGAAACACACCCAAGUCAACAGACAUUUCUCCCAGACAAUGGCAGUCUCCAGGCACACACCCAUGGAUGAGCCAGAGGCAGCACUCAGCUCUGCUUCCACCACCUCAGUCCCACCACCUUGAUGGCAGCAGACCCUAGGCAGGUCUCUGGAUCUGAAGCCUAGCUGUUUGUCCCCUUGUCCCUCCUGCAUCCUUAUUCCACUCUUCAUUUUCUGUUGCUGCCUUUGGCCAGCCAACAACGAAACUGCAUGAGCUGCUCCCUCAGGCAUCCAUCAGUGCUUUGUCCUUCCUUGCUGGGCCACCUCCACCUGAGCCUGUCCCUGGCACAGGACCCCCCUUCCCAUGAGGUAUCAAGGCUUUGGGGACCGUGUGGCAAAAUGAUCAGCAUGCCUUGGGAGCAGAGGGGGACAGAAGUGGCUGAGUGGGGCAGAAGGAGCUGGGCUCUGCCUCCAUGAGGGGCACUGGGCCAUAAACCCAGCACGGUGGCUGUCGUUGUGUGUCAGCAAACACGUUGAGUGAGCUUGACUGUUGAUUCUGACCAUAUAAACCAGUGUUGUGGCACUUGUUCAGGUUUGUGCAGGUUUUACAGCUCUUCUUCUGAGAAGUACCCAUGUAUUUGGUUUUGCUCCUUCCUUCAGGUCUAUCUGUUGACAUUGGCUCUCCUAACCAGAGCAUUGGGCCAUGCCAGGAAGCUGAGUGUGCGUCUCUCCUUGUGUUUCCCACUUUCCCAGGAGUUAUCAACUAUAAAAUCUCACACACACCCAUGGCUGGGACAGGUUUCUAGUGCACAGGCAGGUGAAAGGUGUCUGCUGGUCCCCACCACUGGUUGGUGGGUUUGGGUUCCCUGUGCUCAGACAGGAGAUGAGCCACCCACCCUGAGAGAUGGAUGAGAAAAGCUGCAGGGAAGGUCCUACCCUGAAAUUCUGGAGUGGAGUGAGCAAGGUCUGAGUUCUGUAGGGCUGUGAUGAAAAUCAGGCUGUCAAACCAACUUGGGUGUGCAGAGAAGGAGAAGAUGCUCCCAAAGCACCGUCACAGAGGAUAUGGGCUAUGCCUGGUCACCCUCAAUGGAGGCACAUACUAUCACCCAUUCCUCCUUCCAGCCCUCUUCCCAGCAGGAGCUGCCAGCAGCAGUUGUGCCCUCAGGGACACCUUGGUGCUGGAGGCUCAGAGGGCUUGAGCUCACAGUUAUGGUCCCCAUCUGUCUCAGCACCAGAGCUCCAUUACCAUGAGGAUGCAGUUGGAAUCCCUCUGGUGACUGCAGGAUUUUGAGAUAGAUAAUCUGGUCCAACCUCACAGAGCCAGAGUCUGUUUGCUCCUUGACUUUCACAGCCACUUGCUCUGCCUGAGCUGCUCCUCCCACCCCUUUGGUGCAGCAUCCUGAGCCUACCUUAUUUUUUGAGACAUAUUUCCUGAAGGGAUUUGCUGAGUAAUCUCCGUCGAUGCUCAGGCUGGAGCUUGGACAGGAGCUGUUCCUGGGUGAUUGCUUCUGGGACCCAGCUUUGCUCAGAGGUCCCAGUGCCUCUGCCCAGGACAGGAGAGCAGAGCCCUCAGCCCCAGGUUCACCCUACAACCCCUAUCUUGAAAUUCAGCUUCCGUGAAAAUUCUGCAACAUUUGCCAUUUCCACAUACAUUUCUGCCAGGAACCUUGUUUGCUUGAAUAUUUGAGGAGAGCAAACAGAGAAGGAUCCUAAACACAAACAGUCAUGGAUUUUUUUUUUUUUUGCAGUCUUUGCCCUGUUCUAGCCACAAGCCUGCCAGUAGAGAUACUUGCAGGCAUCCCCUGAUGUACCCCUUGGCUCUGCCCUAUGUGCUGCCCUGUGCCCCACUGC